rnacentral:lncRNA from 1 species
CUCUGACUAUAAAUUCAAUUUUUUUUUGGCUCCUUGACUGUCCAUUUUGUCAACUCUGGCCACGAAUCUUAAGUGUCAAGAACAGCUAUUAGAACAAGAUGGUGCAUCACUGUUAUAAUUCCAGGUAAGAUGAUUCAAGUUGUCUAUUGUGAUGCCCACAGAAAACAUUCUGAUGUGAUGGAGAAGCUGCAAGGAUCACUUUUCUUCCUCCAUCUCAAAUGGUCUGUUCCAGGGAUCCCUGCAGGAAUGGAAGUGUUCACCAUAGAAUGGGCCCAGAGUUCUACUUGCAUUUUUCUUCAGAAGUCAUCCCUCCAUUGGUGAACCACAAUGGUUAGAUCUCCUGGAAACAGUCUUCAUUUAGAGGUAGUAUCUCAUAAUCUCUGAAAGGUGAUAGUUCCCUGUCUUCGUUGCACAUAUCUGACAGCCAUAGACUGACAUAUCUAACAUAGACUAUGACAUAUCUGGCAUAGACUGACAUAUCUGACAGCCAUAGACUACUUGAGAUAAUGCAAGGGGGCUAUGUAUAGCAUAGAUUGUGUAUCCUAAUCAGAACCUUGCAGAAAGAAUAUCUUGUGUAUUAUAUGGAUACAUCAUCUGUCAAUUAUUAAGCCUAGAGCUUAGGCAGAAAAUAGAGGAGGGACACCUGGGAGGAGAAAGAAUUCUGGGAUAGAGCCAGAGGCAGGAAAGCUGCCAAGGAAGAAUUAAAGACCUGGAUGCUUGGUACUUGAGCACAGAUAACCAGCCACAUGGCAAAAUGUAGGCGAAAAUAAUUGGGUUAUUUUAGUUAUGAUCUAGUCAGAGUAGAGCUUAGCUAUAUAGACAAACUAUUUGUAAAUAUAUUUUGAGGUUGAGUCUUAUUUCUGGAAGCAUGGGCUUGGGAGGAAGAACCAGGUGUAACGUCAACAGAACCUCCCCCAAUGUUUUCAGGUUCUCUUAUUUUCUUCAUAUCACACCAAUAACACUGUUCUUUAUAUUUCUCACCAGAUGUUGUUCAGUUAACCUGCCCAACUGCUUGAGAUAGAACAGUGAACCUCUGGCAAAUCAUUUAUUUAUUUAGCAGUGAUGGGUUUUGUUUAUUCUAGGCAAGUGUUCUAUUCUUGAGCUAUAUACUCAGCCUUUUAUUUAAAAAUUUGUUUAAAUAUUUUUUGGAAACAAAGCGAUACACUUAUGUUAGAAAUUUUAGAAAAUACAGAAGUGCUAUCAGUCCAACCUUACAAUUUGGCACAGUUUUUCUUUCUUUUUUUUUUCUAAAAAGGAAUGUGUGUGUGUGUGUGUGUGUGUGUGUGUGUGUGGCUGUGAAUAAAGAUAUACUUUCCUGAAAAAGGAAAGCUGAG